CCUGAGGCUUCAAUAGGCUUGGAAAAGUUUAAAUGUAUAGUAAUGUUACUCAACCUCCAUCCUGUACCAAUGGGAAACAGCCCCUGAUGAAGUGCUUUGUGAAAUAGCUCCUUAUCUUGGGGUGGCUGUAGUGUGUUCUCUCUUGUUUAAUUUGUCAUCAACCAUCAGUCAUCACAGAGCAUAUUGCUUGCUUUUUUCUGAAUCAAGGACUUAUGAUCUGAAUUGCAUGUACUUAACAACAUUCCACAGAGCAUAUUGCUUGCUUUUUUCUGAUUCAAGGACUCAUGACCUGAACUGUAUAUACUUAUUACAUUUUCUUAUCCUGGAGACACCUUGGAUUUUGCCCAGAUACCUAUGUAUAUAACUUACCAGUUUUCCCAUUUUUGUAUUUGUUGUUCUGUAUAUUUAUUGGUUUUGCAUUUCUACUUUGAAUUUUGUUGUUUAAUUUUUUGUAUGUGUUAUAAGAUGUCUUCAUUGUGGGAUGGAAAUUCAUGUGGUUUGACCAUAAUUGGAUAAAGGGUUAGUUUACCAUCACUUUGGUGAUAUGCUUUUUUGCAUAUUCACAUUUGGCCAGGUGGUCUUGGCAAUUUCAUAAAGGUGAUCUUGGUUACA